AUUGAACGCUGGCGGCAGGCCUAACACAUGCAAGUCGAACGGUAACAGGAAGCAGCUUGCUGCUUCGCUGACGAGUGGAGGACGGGUGUGUAAUGUCUGGGAAACUGCCUGAUGGCGGGGGAUAACUAUUGGAAACGGUAGCUAAUACCGCAUAACGUCGCAAGUCCAAAGAGGGGGACCUUAGGGCCCCUUGCCAUCGGAUGUGCCCAGAUGGGAUUAGCUAGUAGGUGGGGUAACGGCUCACCUAGGCGACGAUCCCUAGCUGGUCUGAGAGGAUGACCGGCCACACUGGAACUGAGACACGGACCAGACUCCUACGGGAGGCAGCAGUGGGGAAUAUUGCACAAUGGGCGCAAGCCUGAUGCAGCCAUGCCGCGUGUAUGAAGAAGGCCUUCGGGUUGUAAAGUACUUUCAGCGGGGAGGAAGGGAGUAAAGUUAAUACCUUGGCUCAUUGACGUUACCCGCAGAAGAAGCACCGGCUAACUCCGUG
rnacentral:rRNA from 1 species